AUUUUACUACCUUUCCAAUCUGUCUCCUUCCUGCCCAAGGAAAAGAAAAACAUUGGAAAUAUUUUCCUAUGUGUUGGUCUGCUUGAAAGAAUUUUGUUUUCUGCAGUGCUCACAGAAUAUAGUGGGCACUUUCCCCCCAGAUAAUGGACCUGAAAGCUACUGAGCACUGACUGCUGUGCAGCAAAGCACACGUGCAGGUCUUAAUCUAUCUCUGGAAAGUCCUGUUUGGUGUAGUGAUCCAGUGCCCUGUAUGCAGAGACGCUCAUGACAGAGGAGCCUCACCGUUCCCAGCUGUCUGCAAAGGAUCCACAUGUCAUGCUAGUUUUUCAUCUGCCAAACAGACUGAUUUACAUGAAUACAAAGAGAGCAUAUGUGCGACAUGAUGGCUGACAACAAGCAUCACACUCUGAAGUCACUUAACAGCAGUCACCUCCUGCCAGAAGAGACCUAGCAGCAGACAUCAAAAGUGGAGAAAAGUCAAAAAGAAAGUAAGCUGUAGAAGCAACACGUGAUCAUU
rnacentral:lncRNA from 1 species